CCUACGGGAGGCAGCAGUGAGGAAUAUUGGUCAAUGGGCGGAAGCCUGAACCAGCCAAGUAGCGUGCAGGAUGACGGCCCUACGGGUUGUAAACUGCUUUUAUAUGGGAAUAACGUGCCUUACGUGUAGGGCUUUGCAUGUACCGUAUGAAUAAGGAUCGGCUAAAUCCGUGCCAGCAGCCGCGGUAAUACGGAAGAUCCGGGCGUUAUCCGGAUUUAUUGGGUUUAAAGGGAGCGUAGGUCGGAUGUGAAGUCAGCUGUGAAAUUUUCGGGAUCAACCCGGGAAGUGCAUGUGACACUGGCAGUCUUGAGGAGAGGAGAGGUGGGAGGAAGUCGUGGGGAAGCGGUGAAAUGCGGAGAUAUAACGAAGAAGGAAGAGUGAGAAGGAAGCACAAUGGAAUGGAAAUG
rnacentral:rRNA from 1 species